rnacentral:rRNA from 1 species
AGCGAACGCUGGCGGCAGGCCUAACACAUGCAAGUCGAACGAAGUCUUCGGACUUAGUGGCGGACGGGUGAGUAACACGUGGGAACGUACCUUUUGGUUCGGAACAACUCAGGGAAACUUGAGCUAAUACCGGAUGAGCCCUUAGGGGGAAAGAUUUAUCGCCGAAAGAGCGGCCCGCGUUAGAUUAGCUAGUUGGUGAGGUAAAGGCUCACCAAGGCUACGAUCUAUAGAUGGUCUGAGAGGAUGAUCAGCCACACUGGGACUGAGACACGGCCCAGACUACGACGGGAGGCAGCAGUGGGGAAUCUUGCGCAAUGGGCGAAAGCCUGACGCAGCCAUGCCGCGUGAAUGAUGAAGGUCUUAGGAUUGUAAAAUUCUUUUACCAGGGACGAUAAUGACGGUACCUGGAGAAAAAGCCCCGGCUAACUUCGUGCCAGCCGCCGCAGUAAUAC